CAGCAGCCGCGGUAAUACGAGGGGGGCAAGCGUUGUUCGGAAUUAUUGGGCGUAAAGGGUGCGUAGGCGGUCUGAUAAGUCUUAUGUGAAAUCUAUGGGCUCAACCCAUAGUCUGCAUAGGAAACUGUCAGGCUUGAGGAUGGGAGAGGUGAGUGGAAUUUCCGGUGUAGCGGUGAAAUGCGUAGAUAUCGGAAGGAACACCUGUGGCGAAAGCGGCUCACUGGACCAUUACUGACGCUGAUGCACGAAAGCUAGGGGAGCAAACAGGAUUAGAUACCCCCGUAGUCCCUGUCUCUUAUAC
rnacentral:rRNA from 1 species